AUCCUUCUCAUGCACACUUUGGCAAGUGUAGUAUCUGUUCUUAUCAGUUUAAUAUCCGAUACGUCCUCUAUCUGAGGGCUAUAUAUUAAAUGGAUUUUGGGGCUGGUGGUGUGAUGACAUCGCCUGGAAGUGACAUCAUUGUACCGAGGACGCUCAAAGAUUCACGGUAAAACUCUACGGUACCGUUGAGUUUUGCCGUA